CCCACGUGCUGCCCUGAACAGCAAAACUCCACCCCUGGCCCUGAAGGCUCUGUGUCCAGACGCCAGGGCUCACCAAAGAUGGGGCCCCACCAAAGAUGGGGCAGGAAAAAUAAAGGCCACCUCACAGGAAGCCAAGAGCCCAACGAGAUGCUGAAAAAUCAAGAAAAAUCCCUGCUCUUACGGAGGGAGAAUAGAAGAGGAAUAUGUGAGAAAAGCACCUUGGAGGGAACGGAGUGCACAGGGCCCCAAACCUGUGCCUGUGUGGACAGCAUCUCCCUGCAAGGUGAAUGUCUGCUUGGUGAGGAAGUGACUCUGGCAUCCAGGAAAGGGAUGAGGAGGGAGGAAGGAGCCAUUCCUCUUCAAAGGGCUUCCUGCCCUCAGAUCCUGAGGAACACUUGGCGUUUCUGUCUGUGGAG